GACUCACGCGGGAAUCUUACCGGGUCCGGACACACUGAGGAUUGACAGAUAUACGCUCAUUGCAGUUCGCUGCAUGAGCUGAAAGAUGCUAGUUCUUUCAUGAUUAUGUGAUAGGUGGUGCAUGGCCGUUCUUAGUUCGUGGAGUGAUCUGUCUGCUUAAUUGCGUAUCAAUAAUAGAGACCUAGUAUACGCGUGGAUUUCGCGUGGUAGUGACCCCCUGUUUAACGACAGGCGUGUGUCGCACACGCGUACCUACGCACUGGUCUCAGAUAGCAACGAACGUGACCGUAUUCUAUUGUUGUAGUGAAAUGUGCCUUCGGAUACGACCCACUGCUUAGUAUAUGUACGUGCUUCGGCGCGAACAAUAUACAUUAAACUAUAGAGACCGCUGUUUCUUCUUUAAACCAGAGGAAGGAUACGGCAAUAACAGGUCUGUGAUGCCCUCAGAUGUUCCGGGCUGCACACGUGCUACAAUGAUCAUUGCACUGUGCAUCUAACCCAAUGUGCGCGGACGCCGCAUGCAUGUGCUCUUCACGGAGUACACGCAUUGCUGUUGCGACCGCGCCGAACCUACUUCGAAAGUAAAAUUUCUCAGUGGGUAAUCCAUUAGAAGUAAUGACUCGCAUAGACCAUGGCACAACUAAAUGUACGCGCAGGUUCUACCCGGCUCGCCUUUGUGUGAGUGCAGUGCGUAGCUUGUUGUUUCGUACGUGCCACUCCGUAUUAAUUCGUACGUGGGGAUAGAUCAUUGUUUAAUUGUUGGUCUCGGUCUUAACUAGGAAUGCCUUGUACGGGUCUCUGGUUCAACAUACCACCCGGAAUACGUCCCUGCCCUUUGUACACACCGCCCGUCGCUCUUACCGAUGGAUUAUGCUAUGAAUCUAUAGGACUGCCAAAGCUUUUUUUGAGAGCUUAGUGGAAAUAUAUAUGAUAGCGUGAUCUAA
rnacentral:rRNA from 2 species